AUCACCUUCCUCAAGUCUACAUGAAAAAGGGCAGGAUAAAAUUAUCAACAGUAAAAUCUGAGAGUUUGGGGGGCCAAGAAAAGGCAAGGCUUACCAGGUGCUUCUGGCUGGGGAGCAGUCCAUGGAGGGAAACUGAGAGGAGGCGAGGCCCACACGUACGUGAUAGCCCUCCUUGGUCUCCACCUUUUCCAUUCUAGCCAACAGACUCACCGGGUGCCCCAACCUCAGAAGAAGCCAUAACCUUGGUGAUUUUGCUCAGAUCCGGAAUUUCCUACAGCAGUACAACUUCCUCUGACGCCUCCUGUUUGGCCUUAAAGAUCCAUGUGGAGUGUGCAUUCUACUCUGUAACAUAGAUGCCACAUGUUUGAAGUCAAGGUGAGAGCAGGGUCGCUGCACCUCCGAAGGCUCUCGGACAGAACCCCGUGCCUCUAGCUGCCCGGCGUCCGCGGGCGUGUGGCAGCGUCACUCCAACCCGUUCCCACCUCCUCGGGUCCUUCCUUCCCCACCGUGUCUCUGUGUCCCUUCCUCAGAAGCACAUCAGCCAUUGAAUGUGGAGCCCACUAAACCAAGGCUCAGACAGGACGAGGCAUGCAGACCCAGCUGCAGCCAUUCUAUCGGCUGAGCCCACCGGAAGGUCAUAGCCACUGGGUUAUGUGUAACUCCUGUCAGCUCUGCUGAGCCCCAUCUGGCUCCAGGCAACACAUCUCUUUCAUUGUGGGACUCAGGCUGAGGGAAUAACUCUCAUCCAGGAUAAAAACUGUGGGGGAAGAAAAGAGCAAGAGACCUGACAAAAAACACAUAGUGGCUCUUACAGCUUCUUUUUGGAACAGGCCCAGUCACUUCUACUCACAAUCCAUUGACCAAAACCAGCCCACGGCCAAGCUUGAUGUCCUCAGGGAGGGAACCAGGAAGACACCACGAGUGCUCACAUGGCAAUGAGGUCCUUUUAUAGGAAGGGGGUUGUGAACAAGUGGGAAGACUAUACAGUAUUGCACAAAGUACUGUUUGGGGACCACUGACAGGGGCAGACUUAAAGGUGUUACAUAGCAAGUGCGAUGACAGCCAUAAUUGUAUACAACGAGGGGUCAGUAUUAAGUUAUGACUCCAACCAGAAUAUGACAACUCUCCCACGAAAUGGGGCCUAAGGGCUCUGCUCCACUUGGCGCUGGGAACAGUUCUCCACCGCCCCACAGAAAACACAGCAGCCGCCAGAACACGCAGGGGGCAGAGACAGGAGCUACAAGCCCCACAAUCCAGGGCCAGAUUCGUCAGAGCUUGAUGGAGGAAACUGAAGUAUUUUGUAGGAAACAAUGGACACUUGGUGUUUAAUGGUUAGGUUUUAUGCUGAGACAUCACCAAGAGCCUGAGGCUAGAGGAGGCAGAUAACACCGGGCAGGAGGAACAAGGUGGGAAGCCUCAGGCAGCCUGGAUUCGACUGCAGCAAUGGCUUCAAUGAGAUGGGUGGACCUACUGCCCCUUCCCUAAUGGAAGGGAACCGGAGACAGCCCUUGAGGUCUUUUGUUGUUAAGCACAAAGAAUAAAAUGCAUCUGAUUCUUACCACAGAGUGUUGGGUUAGUUUCAGUGAGUAAUUAGAGUUGGUUUCCUAGACAGCUUGAGGAGUCAUUAUUAUCUGGACUGCGUUGGACCUACCUGCCUAGCACAGUGCUGGCAUCCAGAAUGGGCAAAACAAGGUGAACAGCCUCUCAAUCCAGAAUUCAGUGUUACUGAGGUUUGUAUCCAGGCCUGAUACGUGUUCUCAAUA